rnacentral:rRNA from 1 species
UAGGGAAUCUUCGGCAAUGGACGAAAGUCUGACCGAGCAACGCCGCGUGAGUGAAGAAGGUUUUUCGGAUCGUAAAACUCUGUUGGUAGAGAAGAACGUCGGUGAGAGUGGAAAGCUCAUCAAGUGACGGUAACUACCCAGAAAGGGACGGCUAACUACGUGCCGG